UACGUAGGCAGCAAGCGUUGUUCGGAAUUACUGGGCGUAAAGAGUGUGUAGGCGGUGCUCUAAGUUCGGUGUGAAAUCUCCCGGCUCAACUGGGAGGGUGCGCCGGAAACUGGGGUGCUGGAGCGCGGGAGAGGAAAGCGGAAUUCCUGGUGUGAGCGGUGAAAUGCGUAGAUAUCAGGAGGAACACCGGCGGUGUAGACGGCUUUCUGGACCGUAGCUGACGCUGAGACACGAAAGCGUGGGUAGCAAACAGG
rnacentral:rRNA from 1 species